UCCGGAUUGGUGUAGGGGUUAACAUUGCCGCCUCUCAUUUGUGGCGGUGCAAACGGCACGUGAUAAAUCGCGGCAGCCCGGGGUUCGAUUCCCCGAUCCGGAA